AGCUCGUGUCGUGAGAUGUCGGUUAAGUCCGCUAACGAGCGCAACCCUCGCUGUGUGUUACAAGUGUCACACGGAACUGCCGGUCAUAAACCGGAGGAAGGUGGGGAUGACGUCAAGUCAGCAUGGCCUUUAUAUCCUGGGCUACACACACGCUACAAUGGGAAGGGACAAUAGGUUGCGAAGCCGCGAGGCGGAGCCAAUCCAGCAAAACUUCCCUCAGUUCAGAUUGCAGGCUGCAACUCGCCUGCAUGAAGUUGGAGUUGCUAGUAAACGCAGGUCAGCCAUACUGCGUUGAAUACGUUCCCGGGGCCUU
rnacentral:rRNA from 1 species